rnacentral:rRNA from 1 species
CCCUUAGAUGUUCUGGGCAGCACGCGCGCUACAAUGGUCUUCGCAAACGGAUGCAUUCUCGAAGGAGAAUGCCAAUCUUGGAAUCUAUGCCUUGGUCGGGACAGUUGCUUGCAAUUUUUCGACUCGAACCAGGAAUUCCUUGUAAUCGUGAUUCAUCACAUCACGAUGAAUACGUCCCUGCCCUUUGUACACACCGCCCGUCGCUCCUACCGAUCGAAGAGUUAGGUGAAUUGUUUUGAUCGAUAAGAUUUGACUAUGGUCAACUCUCGUUGUGAAAUUCUGUGAAUCUGACUGUUUAGAGGAACGAAAAGUCGUAACA